ensembl:processed_transcript
UAGUUUUAUUUGAAUGGUACCUUUGGCCUGUCAGUCACCUAGUCACUCAACAAAUAUUUAUUACAUUUCAUGUCCUGGUCUGGAGCUAAGCUGGGAAUAGACAAUACAAUGACUAUGUCUCUGUGUUUGGCAAGGGAAAAAGAAGGCAAAAGAAAAACUGCUCGGGGAGAAAGAACAACUGAGAUAUGUCUGGCAAGUUGAUUCAAGAAACAGUUGCCCGACCUCAAAACCUGGAUAAGUCUUCACCAAACUUGGUACAAAGACAAGUUCUUGCUAAAGGAGGAUACAAUUGUCCUUUGUGCUGGAGAGUGAUCUCAUGGUGCUACGUGUGGCCCUGUUCUGGUGAAGAGUGGCAGGCGUCACCCUUUCUGAGGUAGGCUCCUGCCAGCUCCAUGGCUGAUCAUCGGCCCUUGAUACCCUGAAGUCUGUAGCCUUGAGAUUCUGUGAAGUGAAAGGCUGAUCAGAUGGUCCCCAGUCCCUCCACUGCAACCAGAUCAUUUUGCCCUGAUAGUGUUUUGAAAUUUCUGGCUGCCCCACAUGAGUUUGUUUUGUCUUUCUGCCUAGAUAGCAAACCCAAGGCCAGGGUUCUGAUGACCAAAUAACAGAGGCAAAGGCAGGCUUUGGGGGGGUUGCAUCAUCUGAUUCUCAGGAAAAUGUUACCAAUUCCAGGCAUCUACCCCCAGCCCCCCUCAACUUAUCAACAACCUCAACACACACACGGGGUGUGACCUCGUUACUGGGGAGCAAA